rnacentral:rRNA from 1 species
AUACGGAGGAUGCGAGCGUUAUCCGGAUUUAUUGGGUUUAAAGGGAGCGUAGGCGGGAGCUUAAGUCAGCGGUUAAAUGGUGCGGCUCAACCGUGCCCUGCCGUUGAAACUGGGUUUCUUGAGAGUGCAAGAGGCGGAUGGAAUUCAUGGGGUAGCGGUGAAAUGCUUAGAUAUCAUGAAGAACUCCGAUUGCGAAGGCAGUCCGCUGGGGCACGUCUGACGCUGAUGCUCGAAGGUGCGGGAAUCAAACAGGAUUAGAUACUCUGGUAGUCCGCACGGUAAACGAUGAUUACCCGCUGUCGGCGGCAGACAGUCGGCGGCCAAGCGAAAGCGAUAAGUAAUCCACCUGGGGAGUACGCCGGCAGCGGUGAAACUCAAAGGAAUUGGCGGGG